AGAGUUUGUAACACCCGAAGCCGGUGGCGUAACCUUUAGGGAGCGAGCCGUCUAAGGUGGGACAAAUGAUUAGGGUGAAGUCGUAACAAGGUAGCCGUAGGAGAACCUGCGGCUGGAUCACCUCCUUUCUAAGGAAACAGACUGAAAGUCUGACGGAAACCUGCACACACGAAACUUUGUUUAGUUUUGAGGGGAUUACCCUCAAGCACCCUAGCGGGUGCGACUUUGUUCUUUGAAAACUGGAUAUCAUUGUUGUAAAUGUUUUAAAUUGCCGAGAACACAGCGUAUUUGUAUGAGUUUCUAAUAAUAGAAAUUCGCAUCGCAUAACCGCUGACGCAAGUCAGUACAGGUUAAGUUACAAAGGGCGCACGGUGGAUGCCUUGGCACUAGGAGCCGAUGAAGGACGGAACUAAUACCGAUAUGCUUCGGGGAGCUAUAAGUAAGCUUUGAUCCGGAGAUUUCCGAAUGGGGGAACCCAGUACACAUCAGUGUAUUGCCUGCAAGUGAAUACAUAGCUUGUUGGCGGCAGACGCGGGGA
rnacentral:misc_RNA from 1 species